CCUACGGGAGGCAGCAGUGGGGGAUAUUGCACAAUGGGGGAAACCCUGAUGCAGCGACGCCGCGUGGGUGAAGAAGGGCCUCGGCGCGUAAAGCUCUGUCAGCAGGGAAGAAAAUGACGGUACCUGAAGACGAAGCCCCGGCUAACUACGUGCCAGCAGCCGCGGUAAUACGUAGGGGGCCAGCGGUACCCGGAUUUACUGGGUGUAACGGUGGAGCAGACGGCGAUGCAAGACAGGAGUGAAAGCUCGGGGCCCAACCCCGGGACUGCUCUUGGAACUGCGUGGCUAGAGUGCAGGAGGGGCAGGCGGAAUUCCUGGUGUAGCGGUGAAAUGCGUAGAUAUCAGGAGGAACACCGGUGGCGAAGGCGGCCUGCUGGACUGCAACUGACGUUGAGGCCCGAAAGCGUGGGGAGCAAACAGGAUUAGAUACCCCAGUAGUC
rnacentral:rRNA from 1 species